UGUAGGUUGGCUUAAUUGAUAGUGAUCCUUAAACUUUGCAGUUUCAACCUAACAAUGAAAAGUUUCUCAAAGAUCCUAUAUGUGUUAAUUACCAAGUAUCCUCCAACUGCAUCUAUCCAUUUGGG